rnacentral:piRNA from 1 species
UCUUUACAUUCAGAAGUA